GUCCUCAUAGCUCAAGUGGAUAGAGCGGGGCUCUCCUAAAGCUCAGAUGGUGGUUCGACUCCACCUGGGGACA
rnacentral:tRNA from 1 species